rnacentral:misc_RNA from 1 species
GAUGAAGAACGUAGCGAAAUGCGAUACGUAAUGUGAAUUGCAAAUUCAGUGAAUCAUCGAGUCUUUGAACGCACAUUGCGCCCCCUGGCAUUCCGGGGGGCAUGCCUGUCCGAGCGUCAUUGCUGCCCUCAAGCACGGCUUGUGUGUUGGGCCCCGUCCUCCGAUCCCGGGGGACGGGCCCGAAAGGCAGCGGCGGCACCGCGUCCGGUCCUCGAGCGUAUGGGGCUUUGUCACCCGCUCUGUAGGCCCGGCCGGCGCUUGCCGAUCAACCCAAAUUUUUAUCCAGGUUGACCUCGGAUCAGGUAGGGAUACCCGCUGAACUUAAGCAUAUCAAUAAGCGGAGGA